rnacentral:tRNA from 1 species
GAGGGUAUAGCUCAGCGGUAGAGUGCAUAUUUAGCAUGCAUAAGGUCUUGGGUUCAAGUCCUAGUACUUCCA